rnacentral:rRNA from 1 species
UACGGAGGGGGCUAGCGUUGUUCGGAAUUACUGGGCGUAAAGCGCACGUAGGCGGCUUUGUAAGUUAGAGGUGAAAGCCCGGGGCUCAACUCCGGAAUUGCCUUUAAGACUGCAUCGCUAGAAUUGUGGAGAGGUAAGUGGAAUUCCGAGUGUAGAGGUGAAAUUCGUAGAUAUUCGGAAGAACACCAGUGGCGAAGGCGGCUCACUGGACCGGUAUUGACGCUGAUGUGCGAAAGCGUGGGGAGCAAACAGG